rnacentral:rRNA from 1 species
AGUGAACGCUGGCGGUAGGCCUAACACAUGCAAGUCGAACGGCAGCACAGUAAGAGCUUGCUCUUACGGGUGGCGAGUGGCGGACGGGUGAGGAAUACAUCGGAAUCUACUUUUUCGUGGGGGAUAACGUAGGGAAACUUACGCUAAUACCGCAUACGACCUACGGGUGAAAGCAGGGGAUCUUCGGACCUUGCGCGAUUGAAUGAGCCGAGGUCGGAUUAGCUAGUUGGCGGGGUAAAGGCCCACCAAGGCGACGAUCCGUAGCUGGUCUGGGAGGAUGAUCAGCCACACGGGAACUGAGAAACGGUCCAGACUCCUACGGGAGGCAGCAGUGGGGAAUAUUGGACAAUGGGCGCAAGCCUGAUCCAGCCAGACCGCGUGGGUGAAGAAGGCCUUCGGGUUGUAAAGCCCUUUUGUUGGGAAAGAAAAGCGGCAGGUUAAUACCCCGCUGUUCUGACGGAACCCAAAGAAUAAACACCGGCUAACUUCGU